UACGGAGGGUGCGAGCGUUGUCCGGAAUCACUGGGCGUAAAGGGCGCGUAGGUGGCGCGGAAAGUCAACGGUGAAAGCUUGGGGCUCAACCCCGAGUCGGCCGUCGAUACUUCUGGGCUUGAGCACUGUAGAGGCAGAUGGAAUUCCGGGUGUAGCGGUGGAAUGCGUAGAGAUCCGGAAGAACACCGGUGGCGAAGGCGGUCUGCUGGGCAGUAGCUGACACUGAUGCGCGACAGCGUGGGGAGCAAACAGG
rnacentral:rRNA from 1 species